UAAUACCGAAUGUGCCCUUCGGGGGAAAGAUUUAUCGCCUUUAGAGCGGCCCGCGUCUGAUUAGCUAGUUGGUGAGGUAAAGGCUCACCAAGGCGACGAUCAGUAGCUGGUCUGAGAGGAUGAUCAGCCACAUUGGGACUGAGACACGGCCCAAACUCCUACGGGAGGCAGCAGUGGGGAAUCUUGCGCAAUGGGCGAAAGCCUGACGCAGCCAUGCCGCGUGAAUGAUGAAGGUCUUAGGAUUGUAAAAUUCUUUCACCGGGGACGAUAAUGACGGUACCCGGAGAAGAAGCCCCGGCUAACUUCGUGCCAGCAGCCGCGGUAAUACGAAGGGGGCUAGCGUUGCUCGGAAUUACUGGGCGUAAAGGGAGCGUAGGCGGACAUUUAAGUCAGGGGUGAAAUCCCGGGGCUCAACCUCGGAAUUGCCUUUGAUACUGGGUGUCUUGAGUAUGAGAGAGGUGUGUGGAACUCCGAGUGUAGAGGUGAAAUUCGUAGAUAUUCGGAAGAACACCAGUGGCGAAGGCGACACACUGGCUCAUUACUGACGCUGAGGCUCGAAAGCGUGGGGAGCAAACAGGAUUAGAUACCCUGGUAGUCCACGCCGUAAACGAUGAUUGCUAGUUGG
rnacentral:rRNA from 1 species